rnacentral:rRNA from 1 species
AUGAGAAGCUUGAGGAGACAUCCAGCAGCCGGAGGCCGACGUCGAGCCGCCGGUCACGCGGACGAAGGAGUCGCCCCGUGCCCCGCUCCCUCGCAGGGCGUCGUACUACUACUCCACCAGAGACAGGGAGGUCCCGGCGCUGCCAGCGCACGGCAGGCUUCUCGGCGGCCUCCUGACCGACGGUGUCGACGAGAGAUCCUAACACAGCAGGUACCAGCCCGCCAUGUACCGUCAGAGAGCCGGCAGGCAACCUUCCCCGUACCUCGUGUCCAAGCUGCAGCGGCACGAGGCCCUACAAAGACGCUACGGCCCAGGCACCGCCGCCUACAGCCACGCCCAGGAGCAACUCAGGUCGGGUAA